CCUACGGGUGGCUGCAGUGGGGAAUAUUGCACAAUGGGGGAAACCCUGAUGCAGCGACGCCGCGUGCGUGAAGAAGUAUUUAGGUAUGUAAAGCUCUAUCAGCAGGGAAGAAAUAAAGUCCUUCGGACUUUGGACGGUACCUGACUAAGAAGCCCCGGCUAACUACGUGCCAGCAGCCGCGGUAAUACGUAGGGGGCAAGCGUUAUCCGGAUUUACUGGGUGUAAAGGGAGCGUAGACGGCAGCGCAAGUCUGGUGUGAAAUCCCAUGGCUUAACCAUGGAACUGCUUUGGAAACUGUGCAGCUGGAGUGCAGGGAAGGUAAGCGGAAUUCCUAGUGUAGCGGUGAAAUGCUUAGAUAUUAGGAAGAACACCGGGGGCGAAGGCAGCUUACUGGACUGUAACUGACGUUGAGGCUCGAAAGCGUGGGGAGCGAACAGGAUUAGAUACCCUGGUAGUC
rnacentral:rRNA from 1 species